AGUGAACGCUGGCGGCGUGCUUAAUACAUGCCAGUCGAACGAUGAAGUCCUAGCUUGCUUGGUUGGAUUAGUGGCGCACGGGUGAGUAAUAUAUAGUUAAUCUGCCUUUCACUGAGGAACAACAGUUGGAAACGAUUGCUAAUACCUCAUACUACAACUUUACAUAAGUUAAGUUGGGAAAGUCUUUUCGGUGCAAGAUGAGACUAUAUCGUAUCAGCUAGUUGGUAAGGUAAUGGCUUACCAAGGCUAUGACGCGUAACUGGUCUGAGAGGAUGAUCAGUCACAUUGGAACGGAGACACGGUCCAAACUCCUACGGGAGGCAGCAGUAAGGAAUAUUGUGCAAUGGGGGAAACCCUGACGCAGCAACGCCGCGUGGAGGAUGACAAUUUUCGGAGCGUAAACUCCUUUUGUUAGGGAAGAAUAAUGACGGUACCUAACGAAUAAGCAACGGCUAACUCCGUG
rnacentral:rRNA from 1 species